CCCUUCUCCCCUCUCAGGCUCUCAGGGGGUUUAUGGUCCAUGUUACAUCAGUGUGGUGAAAAGGAAAAAAAUCAGUGAUGUUGGAGGGAAAUAAAGUCAGAGGUGUGAGGUCAAUUUUUAUCAUCUCUAGAGUAAGAAUAUGAUCCCGGAGAAGCCAAAAACAUUGCCCAAGAAACCAAGGAAAAUAUUCCAAGUUCCAGAUAUGAAUAUGAUUCUGCGUGUGAUGAGAGAACCGACACAUGUCCAGCGCUACUGGGACUCCGGGCCUGAAGCAGACAGCGCGCCCAGCUGGGAUCUAGCAAGGGCCAGAGCACUCCUGCAG